rfam:Xenopus laevis strain J chromosome 3S, whole genome shotgun sequence.
AGCAUAUGAUGAUUUUUUUUCUCACGAUGGUCUUCCAAGCUUGAGAGCCUUGACGAGACUGCCGUAUGGCUUUUGCUGAUUGCUGAGCU